GACGAACCGUGCGAACGUUGUUCGGAAUCACUGGGCUUAAAGGGCGCGUAGGCGGGCUUGCCAGUCUGUGGUGAAAUCCUCCAGCCCAACUGGAGAACUGCCGUGGAUACUGCGAGUCUCGAGGGAGGUAGGGGCGUGCGGAACAGAUGGUGGAGCGGUGAAAUGCGUUGAUAUCAUCUGGAACUCCGGUGGCGAAGGCGGCACGCAGGACCCCAUCUGACGCUGAGGCGCGAAAGCCAGGGGAGCAAACGGG
rnacentral:rRNA from 1 species